rnacentral:rRNA from 1 species
CACGUAGGGGGCGAGCGUUGUCCGGAUUUAUUGGGCGUAAAGAGCUCGUAGGCGGCUCGGUAAGUCGGGUGUGAAACCUCCAGGCUCAACCUGGAGACGCCACCCGAUACUACCGUGGCUAGAGUCCGGUAGAGGAGCGUAGAAUUCCUGGUGUAGCGGUGAAAUGCGCAGAUAUCAGGAGGAAUACCAGUGGCGAAGGCGGGUCUCUGGACAGUUCCUGACGCUGAGGCACGAAGGUCAGGGGAGCAAACGGG